UAUAAUUUCUAUAGAGUAAUUAUAUAUAUAUAUAUAUAUAUAUAUAAUACGGGAAAUUCUGGAAACGAAAUGUCUGGCAUUUUUUAUUAUGUCAGUAUAAGAAAAGUUUAAUUUUUGCUUUUCAUUGGACAGGUAAGAAGAGGCAAAACACUGUGAGGAAUUGGAUGAGCCAGAGGUCCAUGAGCGAACUUUCUCAACGGUGGCCGAUGGAAAUUUCUUAGUCUCAUUGGUCCCAUGUGAGUUUGAACAAAUGGAGCGCGCAAUUCAACGACCGGUGUACUGUGCUGUAUGAGAUUUCCUCCACCGACUUUCAGACGUAGUGUCGUUUCUGAAGAACGCGGCAUGUAAUAUCUGCGAUAAUUGGAAUUCAUUAGAAUAAAUAGAAAAGCUAGGCUAAUUUUGUAAAGAAUUUUGAGUUUCAUAGAAAUCUUUAUUUUUCUUUAAGAAAAUAUUAUUGUUCGAAAUGAAUUUAUUUUUAUACGUAAAUAUUAUGAUAGUAAACUUACGUGUCGUUAGAAAUAUUAAAAGGAUCUCUGUCGGGUGA